rnacentral:rRNA from 1 species
CCUACGGGAAGCAGCAGUGGGGAAUCUUGCGCAAUGGGCGAAAGCCUGACGCAGCCAUGCCGCGUGAAUGAUGAAGGUCUUAGGAUUGUAAAAUUCUUUCACCGGGGACGAUAAUGACGGUACCCGGAGAAGAAGCCCCGGCUAACUUCGUGCCAGCAGCCGCGGUAAUACGAAGGGGGCUAGCGUUGCUCGGAAUUACUGGGCGUAAAGGGAGCGUAGGCGGAUAGUUUAGUCAGAGGUGAAAGCCCAGGGCUCAACCUUGGAAUUGCCUUUGAUACUGGCUAUCUUGAGUACGGAAGAGGUAUGUGGAACUCCGAGUGUAGAGGUGAAAUUCGUAGAUAUUCGGAAGAACACCAGUGGCGAAGGCGACAUACUGGUCCGUUACUGACGCUGAGGCUCGAAAGCGUGGGGAGCAAACAGGAUUAGAUACCCUGGUAGUCCACGCUGUAAACGAUGAGUGCUAGUUGUCGGCAUGCAUGCAUGUCGGUGACGCAGCUACGACGAUAAGUACACUCCGCCGUCGGGGAGGUACGGUCGGCGAAGAAGUUAAAACGUUAAAGUUAGUUAAGUUAGUACGGCGUUGAGACGUUGCCGACGGACGACGACGAGGGAGGAGG